CGCGCGCCGGGCCCGGGAGAGUGACCCACCAAUGGCUGUGCGGGAGGGGAAGGCACUUGGCCAAUCAGCGCCCGCCUUCGCCGCCCGCACUGAGCGCGGACCCCGCCCCGCCCGGCGCGGGCGGUGGCGUCCCCGCCCAGCCUUUGCUUCCCCUUGCGCCUGCGCGCUGGGCCGCCCCCGCCCUCGGAGGCACCGAGCUGCGCCGGGCACCGGACGUCGGCCCGGCCGCCGCCUUCCCGGCACUUUCCGUGCCUUUCCCCCCCUCUCCCUACGCGGGCCUGGCUCCGCGCCGCACAGGCCGGCCGGCGGCCCCGUCCGCUCCACUCUACCGCGCUUUUGCGAGGACCCAGUGCCCACUCCCGGGUGCGCGGGCCCAGUGCGCCUGCGCCGCGCGCCGAGGCGGGUGCCUCUGCCUGGUCACGCGGGGGACGCGCCGCAGCAGCUGAUUGGCUGCGGCGGCGGCGCGAAGGUCGCGCGCGCGCGCUCAGUGAUGCGUGUGUGCUGGCUCGUGGGCAAAGAGGAAUGCACUCAGCGAGUGAAACUGCCGCACUUGGAGGCUGUGGUGAUUGGGCGUGGCCCAGAGACUGGGAUAACGGAUAAGAAGUGCUCGCGGCAGCAAGUUCAGUUAAAAGCAGACUGUAACAAGGGGUAUGUCACAGUUAAACAGAUAGGGGUCAACCCAACUAGUGUUGAUCUUGUGAAUAUUGGCAAGGAUGAAGUGGUGAAAAUGAAGCCAGGCCAAGUUCUGCAUAUUGUAAAUAACCUUUACCCCUACAUGGUGCAAUUUGCCGAAGAGUCUGGGAAAACUGUUCCAAAAGCAGAUAAGAUUCCACAUGAAGAGAAUGAUGAUAUAGAGCUUGUGCCCAGAAAAACCAUGAAGCUGGAGGUGGUGGAUACACAAGGCAGUUCUACAAAUCCAAAGCUAAGCAAUACCAGUGUAUCUGCACAGGAAGGAACUUCGAGCAAAAAGGAACAUUUAGGACACUGGAGUCAGGGUCUGAAGAGCUCCAUGCAAGAUCCAAAAAUGCAGGUUUACAAAGAUGAAAAGACUGUAGUCAUCAAGGAUAAAUAUCCCAAAGCACGUUACCACUGGCUUAUCUUACCAUGGGACCCUAUUUCAAGUCUGAAAUCAGUCACCAGGGACCACCUUGAACUCCUGGAACAUAUGCAUGCUGUUGGGCAAAAAAUGAUCGAACAGUGCCCUGCCAGAGAGAGCCUGGAGUUCCGACUGGGUUACCAUGCUAUCCCCAGUAUGAGUCAGCUACAUUUGCAUGUAAUCAGCCAGGAUUUUGAUUCUCCAGCCCUGAAAACCAAAAAGCACUGGAAUUCUUUUACUACGGACUACUUCUUAAACUCUCAAGAUGUGAUAGAGAUGGUAAGAAGCAAGGGAAAAGUGAUGGUGAAAGACCAUACCUCUGAACUUCUCAAACUUCCCCUCAGAUGCCAUCGCUGUAAACAACAGCUGUCCACAAUCCCACAGUUAAAGGAACAUCUUCGGAAACACUGGCCAAAAUGAUUUUGCAAAAAAUCAUCUUUCAGUCUGUCUUCAAAUGUCAAGACAACACAAGACCACAAAAUGUUAAUGGAAACAGCAGCAUACUAAUUUAGUAAUAGCAUCAACAAAAACUCAAGCCCUUUUCUUCCUUCCUACUAAAAAUAUAAAUAAAGUGACUUCUGAAAUUGGACCUUUUUGGUUGCAGCUUUAUUGUGGUACUGCCACACUAAUCUGUAAGUGAACUGAAGUCUGGGAGAAGUGCUUUGUUGGGAUGAAAUUAUUUAUUUUAAUUCAGAAGCUGAACUGAGCCCAGAUCUGGGUUUCUACUGUGAAAGGAAACAAUGAUUUAGAGAUCUUUCUCUUGAUGUUUUCUGCCUACCACUGAAGUUCCUCCUGCGUGAUGUUGCAGGCACUGGUGUGACUGACAGAACGUACUGUCAGUGGAGAGGAAAGAGCAGCAGCUGAUCACUCCCACUUUGCUGUGCCACUGACAGGCCUGACAGUUCAGUGCUGCUGAACUGCCGCUCAGCUAGGGGACAGCCACUGCUCAGGCUCUAAGUGGAGCAAAAAUCUCUUUUGGGUACAAGGAUGUAUUUAAACAUUUUUUAUGUAAUACAUUUGUAAUACACAGUGACCAGCUUUACUGCUUCCCAGAGUAAUAAAACUCUCAAGGUGUGCAGCUGCCUGUCUGCAUAUGCUGAGGAUGGUGCAGAAGUUCUGUGGUUUAAUCCCACACUGUUUCUCCAAUCAGGAUUUUAGUGAGCCUCUAAUAAUUUGAUUGUUGUCAAGAUGUGAACUUCCAGAAGCAGCAGGACAAUACUAAUAAAAAUCUCUUGAGUCCAGAUCUGGUUUGUACAGUUCAGCUUCAUCCUAAGCCCAGCUUUGAGUUAAGAUGCUCUCUGGGUGAAAUGGCUUUCAGUAAAAGAGUGCACAGAGCUUCUGUUAUACAAGCAAAAUGCUGCUCCCAACAGUAACAUUCUCUAGGAAGAGGGUGUUCUCUUCUUACAUUCCCCGAUGCAGCAGCAUGUUGCUGUACCCACUCAAAUGGGGCAAAUAAUAAUAUGAUGUUGCUGGAAAAUAAUAAAGAUGUUUCUGUCA